GUCUCGCGUCCGGUUCUCCUCCCCCUUCUCUCUCUUCGCCGAGCUCGCCGCCGCCGCUGCUCGCCUCAUCCCCCUCGCGCCUCCACCCCCUAGCCUCCCCUUCUCCUCCUCCCGUCCUCUCCUCCGCCGCUCGGUCGCCGUGCCCGUGCUGCUCAACCCCCGCCGCCCCAUCGGCUGCUCCGUCGCCGUUCAUGGCAUCCGGGAGGCACGCGGCCGCGCCCCCUCCCAUCGUGCCGUCGAGGGGAGGAGCCAGGCGGAGCGCGCCGUCGCCACCGGCUGGCGCGUCGACGAGAGGAGGCCAGGGUUAGGGUGCUCUCCUCGUCGCGCUGCGGAUCUCCUGGCGCCGCCGGCUGCAGGAGCUGAAGCUUCUCCUCGCGCCGCCAGCUGCCGGGUUCGGAUCUCCUCCACUUUGCAUCGCUGGCUGAUGGACUAAGAGCUCAUCCACCUCGCACCCCGGAGCACUACUACUUCCUCCUGCCUCGAUGUGCUCCUACCACCUCCUGGUUUUCUGAUCUAACUGGCAUUGACUAUAGUGAAGCUGCAAUUGAGCUUGCUCGAAACCUCGCAAUUCUUGAUGGAUUUGAGCAAAUUAAUUUCCUGGUUGAUGAUAUCCUGGAGAUAAAGUUGGAGAGGGGAUUUGAACUUGUGAUGGAUGAAGGAACUCUGGAUGCAAUAGGGCUCCACCCUGAUGGACCUGUAAAGAGAAUGAUGUAUUGGCAGUCAGUGGCUAGCUUGGUUUAUCAUGGUGGCAUACUGGACCAAGGAUGAGCUAGUGCAGGAGGUGGAGAACUUCAACCAGAGAAAGCUGGGCCCCGCAGAUUAGGAUUCCAUAAUUUGAUGUUGAGGUUUGACUGCCACCAUUGGGGAAAGCCACUAACCGAGGUGGAUCGGCGACUGCCGUUAGCGCAUCUAUUCUGCUAGGAGGUGUUGCCGUCGACGAUGAGUGCCAGACCAUGCGCUGACUCAAGGACCGCCGUUCCGUUGGCCCGUUGUUUAGCAUGCGCCGUCACGCGGCACUGCCCCCGGCCAUGAACUAGGGUCGGUGGCCGAGCUCGUCGCCGUCCGCCUCGGUGGCCCGCUUCCUCGCUUGCUUCUUUGGGUCCCAAGCACCUGCCACCGGUGGAUGACGAGAUCCGCCACCAACCAUGUACCGGGGAGGAGCUCACCCUCGCGGCCUCUACAUGUCCCCAGGGAGGUCUCCGCCUAUGGAGCUUACUGAUGUGCCACCCCCAGUUCAUCGUGAUGUUUUUGCACGUGUCUUAUGCUUCAAUUGGGUGCCAAGGAACACUUGACCGCUGGAGGUUGUCAUUUACCUAGCCUGAGUCCUGAUGAUACUACACCUUUCUUUGUACCCCAUUAAAGGCUACCACCAUUCAACUCAGGCAAUGGCCGUAAAGAAAAUGAUGGCAACUAAUGUUGAAGACUUUGUAGUAGAGAUGACAACGCUAAUGCUAAAUAAAUCAUAAAUAUAAUAGCAGCAACUAAGGACUGGUGAGGUUGUUGGAUGGUCAUACAGUGUGAAGUCGUUGGAUUAGCAAACAACCAUUAUGCGUCGGGCUAUCUCUUUGUUUCAGCGUCGUACUAGCCAGCUCCUUAGCGAACAAAUGUUCGAUCCUCUUGAAUGAGCACUGUCCAGGGGAGGUCUAGAACGGUAUAAAGCAUGUGCGGGGUGUGGCAAAUGCUACUUUCGAAGACAAAUACCGGGGGCUACCAACCCCUGAAGGGAGAGACUGAAGGACAACCAGUUCGAACCGAUAAUGCAAAGGUUUGAGAAGAGGCUCACAAACUGGUUGGAGAAAUACAUGUUUCAAGUUGAAAAGAAAUCUCGCCGCUCAAACCCUGCCUACAUGCGUUAUGGGGGGUGUUCAAGAUGUCACAGGGCUUCUGCUAGAGGUAUGAAAACUAGUUAGGGACUUCUCGUGGGGUGAUGAAUUUGGGCAGUGAAAGGUCCACUUGAUGGCCUGGAAUAAAAUGGUCAAGGCGAAAGGCGCAGGACGAAUUGGCUAUAGGCACAUGCACCUUCUUCAAUCAAGCACUUUUGGUCAUGCAAGCGUGGAGGCUUUUCCCAAAACUGGAUAUUGUGUGUACCAGGGUUCUGAAGUCAAAAUAUUUUCCCAAUGGGCCGCUCCUUGAUACCAUUUUUGCUUCCAAUGCAUCACCUCUGUGGCAAAGGAUAGAGUUCAGGCUUGAAUUGUUGAAGGGAUUGUAUGGAGAUUGGAAAUGGGCAGAUCUCCCAAUGUCUCAUGAUCAGUGGAUUCCACGCCAACAAGGUAUGAAAGUCACCUCUUUAGCCUGAAGGACAAGAUUACGAUGGGUAAACCAGCUGAUAAACCCAGAGGACACACAAUGGAAUGCUGACCUGAUAUGACAGAUUAUCCAUCCUUACGACCGGCGAUUUGCAACUGUAGAUUGCCGUCGUGGAUGACUGUAUAGAUUGGCACUACGAGAAAACUGGGGUCUUCACGGUUACAAGUGUGUAUAAACUGGCACUCUGGCAGUACAGCUAAAGCAAGAUGGAGAUAAGGCAGAGAGCAGCGCCGAUGCAGGAACUGACUGGCUAGCAGUAAAUCUGGGAAACGAUCCGGAAACCAAAUGCACCACAGAAAAUUUAGCUGCGGAAUCAUUUGGCAUGCAAAAUAACCAAGGGCUCUGACGCGGUAGUCCGGUGCUCUGACGGAAUGACGAUCGUUUCUAUGGCAUGUAGAAUACCAAACUGUAUCACCACUGAGGAAUCUGAAGCUUGGGCGCCUCGACUGUGAGCUGAAUCUUGAUAACCGGCACAUGGUCGGGGAAGGUUCAGCUCUGAUUGUGCAGCGGUGGUGGUUGUAACACUCAUUCUGGAAAUUUAUAAAGCUCUCCUGCCACUAAAACGGUAUAGGAUUGUUGAUCAAUUAGAUAGAGCUAUUUGUCUGUGUGAAUGCAUACAUUUAGUUAUCUCUUAGUAUAUUACAAAGUUUUCAUCUAAUUACAUAAGUUGUUUUGUACCUGAGCCAGCUAGGAUGAAAUCUUGGUUUAGCUUUUUUUCUAAGAAACAUUUCACAUGCAUGUUUCAUCGAUAU